rnacentral:rRNA from 1 species
AUUAGAUAAAAAACCAAUGCCCUUCGGGGCUUUCUGGUGAUUCAUAAUAACUAAACGAAUCGCAUGGCCUUGAGCCGGCGAUGGUUCAUUCAAAUUUCUGCCCUAUCAACUUUCGAUUGUAGGAUAGAGGCCUACAAUGGUUUCAACGGGUAACGGAGAAUUAGGGUUCGGUUCCGGAGAGGGAGCCUGAGAAACGGCUACCACAUCCAAGGAAGGCAGCAGGCGCGCAAAUUACCCAAUCCCGACACGGGGAGGUAGUGACAAUAAAUACUGAUACAGGGCUCUUUUGGGUCUUGUAAUUGGAAUGAGUACAAUUUAAAUCCCUUAACGAGGAACAAUUGGAGGGCAAGUCUGGUGCCAGCAGCCGCGGUAAUUCCAGCUCCAAUAGCGUAUAUUAAAGUUGUUGCAGUUAAAAAGCUCGCAGUUGAACCUUGGGUCUGGCUGGCCGGUCCGCCUCACCGCGUGCACUGGUCCGGCCGGACCUUUCCUCUUGGGGAUCCGCAUGCCCUUUACUGGG